rnacentral:rRNA from 1 species
GAUGAACGCUAGCGGCAGGCUUAAUACAUGCAAGUUGAGGGGCAGCAUGAUAUACGCGAGUAUAUUGAUGGCGACCGGCGGACGGGUGAGUAAUAGGUAGGAGACCUACCUCAUACAGGGGGAUAGCAUAGAGAAAUCUGUGGUAAUACCCCAUGAGGUUAUAUGAAUAGAGGCAUAUAAUCAAAAGCAUAAGCGAUUAUGCGGUAUGAGAGGGGCCUACUGACCAUUAGCUAGUUGGUGAGGUAAGGGCUCACCAAGGCGAAGAUGGUUAGGGGUUUUGAGAGAGAGACCCCCCACAUUGGAACUGAGAGACGGUCCAGACUCCUACGGGAGGCAGCAGUCGAGAAUAGUCUACAAUGGCCGGAAGGCUGAUAGUGCGACGCCGCGUGAACGAGGGAGCCCUCGGGUGGUAAGUUCUUUUCUAUACGAGCAGUGCUAUAUAUAUGGAUAGUAUAUAUAGAGGAUAGUAGUAUAGG